AUCCGCCAGGGACACCUGAUGAGAAAAAACUGUUCCUUGUUGACCUUGGAUUGGGUGGCGUGAUGGUUCUACUGGUCUACAUGUUGAUUAUGAUCAACGGCCAGAUGUUUUUAGGUACCCAGUAUUUACAGCAAUCCUAUAAAGUGAGCGAGUCAUUUCCAUUCAAGUGGAUAAAUAAAAAAUGGAGGGAAGGAUUCUAUGUAACUACCAUGGCUACUGCAGGAAGUAGAUGGGCAAUUGUCAUGUCUCGUGGGGCAGGAUUUUCUGAUCA